UACAGAGGGUGCGAGCGUUAAUCGGAAUUACUGGGCGUAAAGCGUGCGUAGGUGGACGUUUAAGUCGAAUGUGAAAGCCCCGGGCUUAACCUGGGAAUUGCAUCCGAGACUGGACAUCUAGAGUAUGGUAGAGGAAAGUGGAAUUCCCGGUGUAGCGGUGAAAUGCGUAGAUAUCGGGAGGAACAUCAGUGGCGAAGGCGACUUUCUGGACUAAUACUGACACUGAGGCACGAAAGCGUGGGGAGCAAACAGG
rnacentral:rRNA from 1 species